rnacentral:rRNA from 1 species
GCUACGGGAGGCAGCAGUGGGGAAUAUUGCACAAUGGGGGAAACCCUGAUGCAGCAACGCCGCGUGAGUGAGGAAGUAUUUCUGUAUGUAAAGCUCUAUCAGCAGGGAAUAGAAAAGAAGGUACCUGAAAAAGCAGCCCCGGCUCACUACGUGCCAGCAGACGCGGUAAUACGAAGGGGGCAAGCGUUAUCCGGAGUUACUGGGAGUAAAGGGCGCGUAGACGGAAAGGCAAGUCAGAAAUGAAAGCCCAAGGCUCAACCAUGGGACUGCUUUUGAAACUGUCAAACUAGAGGACGGGAGAGGUAAGAGGAAUUCCUAGUGUCGCGGUGAAAUGCGUAGAUAUUAGGAGGAACACCAGUGGCGAAGGCGUCUUACUGGACCGAAACUGACGUUGAGGCUCGAAAGCGUGGGGAGCAAACAGGAUUAGAUACCCUGGUAGUC